UACAGAGGUGGCAAGCGUUGUUCGGAAUUACUGGGCGUAAAGGGCGCGUAGGCGGCCUACUAAGUCAGACGUGAAAUCCCCCGGCUUAACCUGGGAACUGCGUCUGAUACUGGAAGGCUUGAGGAUGGGAGAGGGAUGUAGAAUUCCAGGUGUAGCGGUGAAAUGCGUAGAGAUGUGGAGGAACACCGAUGGCGAAGGCAGCCUCCUGGGCCAAUACUGACGCUCAUGCACGAAAGCGUGGGGAGCAAACAGG
rnacentral:rRNA from 1 species